UGGGGAAUUUUGCACAAUGGGGGAAACCCUGAUGCAGCGACGCCGCGUGAUUUAGAAGGCCUUCGGGUUGUAAAAAUCUUUUUUACGGGAUGAAAAUGACAGUACCGUAAGAAUAAGGUCCGGCUAAAUACGUGCCAGCAGCCGCGGUAAUACGUAUGGACCGAGCGUUGUCCGGAAUCAUUGGGCGUAAAGGGUACGUAGGCGGCCUAGUAAGUUAGAAGUGAAAUAAUAUAGCUCAACUAUAUAAAGCUUUUAAAACUGCUAGGCUUGAGAGAUGGAAGGGAAAGUGGAAUUCCUAGUGUAGCGGUGAAAUGCGCAGAUAUUAGGAAGAAUACCGGUGGCGAAGGCAACUUUCUGGUCAUCAUCUGACGCUGAGGUACGAAAGCGUGGGUAGCAAACAGG
rnacentral:rRNA from 1 species